GAUGAAGAACGUAGCGAAAUGCGAUAAGUAACGUGAAUUGCAGAAUUCAGUGAAUCAUCGAAUCUUUGAACGCACAUUGCGCCCGCCAGUAUUCUGGCGGGCAUGCCUGUUCGAGCGUCAUUUCAACCCUCAGGCCCCCAGUGCCUGGUGUUGGGGAUCGGCAGCAGGGCGUCAAGCCCGCCGGCCCCGAAAUCUAGUGGCGGUCUCGCUGUAGUCCUCCUCUGCGUAGUAGCACAACCUCGCAGUUGGAACGCGGCGGUGGCCAUGCCGUUAAACACCCCACUUCUGAAAGUUGACCUCGGAUCAGGUAGGAAUACCCGCUGAACUUAAGCAUAUCAAUAAGCGGAGGA
rnacentral:misc_RNA from 1 species